ensembl:rRNA 5S_rRNA 5S ribosomal RNA
UAGUUCCUUUUAACAUGUCAUAGGUACUUAAUCUCAUCUGAUCUCAGAAGCUAAGCAGGGCUGGGCCUGUGUAGUACUUAGAUGGGAGAUUGCCUGGGAAUAGUAGAUGCUGAACCAG